CAACUUUCAACAAUGGAUCUCUUGGCUCUGGCAUCGAUGAAGAACGCAGCGAAAUGCGAUAAGUAGUGUGAAUUGCAGAAUUCCGUGAAUCAUCGAAUCUUUGAACGCACAUUGCGCCCCUCGGUAUUCCUUGGGGCAUGCCUGUUCGAGCGUCAU
rnacentral:rRNA from 3 species